AGAGGGUGCGAGCGUUAAUCGGAAUUACUGGGCGUAAAGCGUGCGUAGACGGCUAUCUAAGUCGGGUGUGAAAGCCCCGGGCUCAACCUGGGAAUUGCAUUCGAGACUGAAUAGCUAGGGUACGGUAGAGGGAAGCGGAAUUUCCGGUGUAGCGGUGAAAUGCGUAGAUAUCGGAAGGAACAUCAGUGGCGAAAGCGGCUUCCUGGACCAGUACCGACGUUCAGGCACGAAAGCGUGGGGAGCAAACAGGAUUAGAUACCCUGGUAGUCCACGCCAUAAACGAUGAGGACUAGACGUUGGAGGGGUAAGCCUUUCAGUGUCGUAGCUAACGCGCUAAGUCCUCCGCCUGGGGAGUACGGCCGCAAGGUUGAA
rnacentral:rRNA from 1 species